UACAGAGGUGGCAAGCGUUGUUCGGAAUUACUGGGCGUAAGGGGCGCGUAGGCGGCCAACUAAGUCAUACGUGAAAUCCCUCGGCUUAACCGGGGAACUGCGUCUGAUACUGGAUAGCUAGAGUUCGGCAGAGGGAAGUGGAAUUUCUGGUGUAGCGGUGAAAUGCGUAGAUAUCAGAAGGAACAUCAGUGGCGAAAGCGACUUCCUGGACCAGAACUGACGAUCAGGCACGAAAGCGUGGGGAGCAAACAGG
rnacentral:rRNA from 1 species